rnacentral:rRNA from 1 species
CCAUCGAGCUUUAUCGUAUUACGAGUGGCCAGCCAGCCCGCGGGUAAUUAUCGUUAGGUUUGGGCAAGCGUUUGUCUCGGAAAUUAUUGGGCGUAAAAGGGCUUCGCAGGCGGUUUUUUUAUAGUCUGAUGUUGAAAAGCCCCCCGGGCUCAACCGGGGGAGGGGGUCAUUGGGAACUGGGGAACUUGAGUGCAGAAGAGGAAGAGUGGGAAUUUCCACGUGUUAGCGGUGAAAUGCGUAGAGAUGUGGAGGGAACACCAGUGGUGAAGGGCGACUCUCUGGGUCUUGUAACUGACGCUGAGGAGCGAAAGCGUGGGGAGCGAACAGGAUUAGAUACCCUGGUAGUUCACGCCGUAAACGAUGAGUGCUAAGUGUUAGGGGGUUUCCGCCCCUUAGUGCUGCAGCUAACGCAUUAAGCACUCCGCCUGGGGAGUACGGUCGCAAGACUGAAACUCAAAGGAAUUGACGGGGGCCCGCACAAGCGGUGGAGCAUGUGGUUUAAUUCGAAGCAACGCGAAGAACCUUACCAGGUCUUGACAUCCUCUGACAAUCCUAGAGAUAGGACGUCCCCUUCGGGGGCAGAGUGACAGGUGGUGCAUGGUUGUCGUCAGCUCGUGUCGUGAGAUGUUGGGUUAAGUCCCGCAACGAGCGCAACCCUUGAUCUUAGUUGCCAGCAUUCAGUUGGGCACUCUAAGGUGACUGCCGGUGACAAACCGGAGGAAGGUGGGGAUGACGUCAAAUCAUCAUGCCCCUUAUGACCUGGGCUACACACGUGCUACAAUGGACAGAACAAAGGGCAGCGAAACCGCGAGGUUAAGCCAAUCCCACAAAUCUGUUCUCAGUUCGGAUCGCAGUCUGCAACUCGACUGCGUGAAGCUGGAAUCGCUAGUAAUCGCGGAUCAGCAUGCCGCGGUGAAUACGUUCCCGGGCCUUGUACACACCGCCCGUCACACCACGAGAGUUUGUAACACCCGAAGUCGGUGAGGUAACCUUUUAGGAGCCCAGCCGCCCAAAGUUGAAUUAG